GCCGAAGUGGUGGAAUUGGCAGACACGCAGCUUUGAGGUGGCUGUGGGAGAAAUCCUGUAGGGGUUCGAGUCCCCUCUUCGGCACCA
rnacentral:tRNA from 1 species